AAAAUGCCUGCUGUAUUCAUUAGGAACGUAAAUUCUUCGAGUUUUCAGGAACAACGAUUCACUCUUGACUUCGCUGCUGGUAUGUUUGUAGAGGAGAUGACGGCAAAGGAUUUAUCUGUCCGGAUAAAAAUGUUUGCUCAUCGAACAAUAAAACAGCUACUCGUCACCAUGGUGACUGUACGAAAUGCAGGAUCAGCAAACGUUAGGUUGGGUUUGAAUUCCUCUAGGAUUGCUGACACUGAGGAUUUGGAUAUCACUCACGCGGUCAACCAAUCUAUCGGCAUUAUAAGCGGAAGAACAAAAGAAAUGGAAUAUGACGUCACGGGAUUACAAGACGUCACCAUGGUUCACACUGUUAUACCCGAGGAAAUCUCCGUGGAAGCAUUCCAAGAAACUACACACCUCUUUCUACUAAGUGUUGAUCUGGUCCCAGCAACUGCAAAGAAAUUUUUCGACAAAGGCGUGCAAAUGUUUUUUAAUGGAAACCUUGAGUCGAGCCACGUCAAUGGUUGGGCAGAUGUGUGGAGGAAUGGUCGAAUUGAUUUGAAUGACAAUGAUACAUUGGCUACUUUGGCGUAUUCCAGCUUGUACUAUAUCAUGAGUUCUCUCCCUUUGGGACCGACCCCAGAUUUUGUGGGUCUGUCACCCGGGGAUUUGGCUCAUGGUGAGGGACACCAGGACUACAUGGGUCACGUGUUCUGGGACCAGGAAACAUGGAUGUAUCCACCGAUACUACUGCUCCACAGUAAGAUGGGGGAGGCCAUCGUACAAACCAGGGUCCGCACUCUAGACGCCGCCAUACAGACCGCCAAGAUGAGGGGAUAUAAAGGAGCCAUGUACCCAUGGGAAACUGCUCUCUCAGGUCUUGACGUAACAGAAAUACCUAUUUAUUUUUUGAAUGAACAACACAUCACAGGAGAUAUUUCGUUUGCCUUGAGACAGUACCUUUAUAUGACACGAGACAUUAGGUUCCUUAACGAGAGUGGAAUAGAGCUAGUGCAAGAAAUAGCAGAAUUCUGGGCUUCACGAGUUUUCCUGAAUUCCUCAACAAAUAUGUACGAAAUCCAUGACGUGAUGCCUCCUGAUGAAUGGCACAAGAAAGUGAAUAACUCGGCCUUCACAAACGCUGUCGCUAAACUAAGUCUCUUACUCCCGGAGUUUGUGGGAAAUGUGAUGAACAUCAAACCCGAUCCAAAAUACAAAGCCAUUGCUGACAAAAUGUACAUUCCCUAUGACAAACAACUUGACUAUCAUCCCGAAUUUGAUGGCUACACAAAAAAUGAACCCGUGAAACAAGCUGACGUUGUCCUAAUGGGAUUCCCUCUCAUGAUAAACAUGGACGAGUCUACACGAAGGAAUGACCUCCGGAUAUACGAAGCGGUGACAUCAAAAGGUCCAGCCAUGACCUGGAGUAUGUUCUCCAUCGGGAACCUGGAGAUUGGAGAUAUAACUAAGGCAUCGACCCAGUUUACACGCCAGCUGCUGAAUGUCGCUAAGCCAUUUAAUGUGUGGACAGAACUCGAUGACGGUACGGGCGCUGUCAAUUUCAUCACGGGGAUGGGAGGGUUCCUGCAGUCCCUGCUGUUUGGUUAUGGCGGCUUCAGACUCCGCCCUGACAGGAUCGACUUCCACGGACGUCUCCCUCCCUCCACCUCCUCCUUCAACAUCACAGGGCUGGACUAUCUGGGUGGAUCUAUAGAUUUCUAUUUUACCAAAGAUACAACCAUUGUGAGGCUGACCAAGGCGGCUGAAUUUACACUGACGUUAAAAUACGAAGAGAAAGCUUUCACAUUGAAACAAAAUGAAAUCCAAAUGUUUUCUUCGACAAAAGCCUCCAUAGUGCCAGAUCUACCGCUCGCAUUAAAGAGAAACUCAGCAAAUCAUGUUUUAUUUUCAUCAGUUCUACUGAUUAUUAGUGCCUUGUUUUGCUCAAAACUUUAUUUUUGUUGAAAAUUCAUGUUCGUUGAAGACGAUGCAAGCAAAAACAUAUACAGGCUUAACACAUUAUAUUUCUGCUGACUUAUAUGUAAUAUACUAUUUUCUUUAGGGAAAACAUGCAUUAAUAAGCAUAUUAAUAUCAUAUUUGGGUAAGAUAGUAAUGAUGCCAACAGCCGGGCGUGUAUUAUACUGAUAUUUCCUGAAGGGAAACAUGCAUGGAUGAACAUAAUUAUAUCAUAUUUGGGUAACUUAAUUAAGCAAACAGUCUGACAUAUAUUAUUCUUAAGGAAAACAUGCACCAAUAAGCGUAAUCAAAAUCGUGUAAGAUAAUAAAGCUAACAGCCCAAAGGUCCAAAGGUGAAGUGUCACACGAUAUUGCGUCUAACGAUAAUGUUAUUUUAAUACAAUUAUAUUUGUAUUUUUAAAAUAAAGAUAUAUACUUGU
rnacentral:misc_RNA from 1 species